rnacentral:lncRNA from 1 species
GGGCAGGUGCCCGCCCGGGGAGGGGGCUGUCGUCCAGGCCAGGGCUUCCGUUCGCGGACUUUGGCCCAGGCGCGUGGGCGCUGCCGAGAGGCUGGGAGCCCGGGAACCGGUUCCUGGACUUGAGCGGAGCGAGAAAGAGCGCGCCGCCUGCACGACUGGACUGGAGCGGCCGGGUGCCCUGGAGGCCCCUGGGAAUUGCAGUCCUUGCGCAGGUGGAGAGUGAGCCCUUGUGAGAAAACUCAAGACUCAGAAACAAUAAAGGUUACAGAGAUGAAAUUGACAGAGCCUGAAUUUCAGUAGAUUCUGUCCCAGAAAGACAUCCACCCUAGAGUUCAGGAUAUCAUACCCAUUUUACUGUUCCCCUGGCACAAUUCAUAGUAAGGAAAAACAGACAAGGGGAAAGCUAUUAGAUUCUCGGUGCUGCUAAACAGGACACACAAGGACACCAUUUUGUGAUGAUGAUGGUGCUUUAUGCAGCUUCCACCAUUUACAAGAUUUUCCUGUGGUGUGGAACCUCUCAUGAUAAAGCAAAGGAACUAGAAGCUUAUUCCAGUCAAGAUUUCUGAUUUAUCUUGUGGGUUAUGAUUCUGUAUGGUUUCUUUGGUGCUGCAUUAGACCUGAGCUCUGAUUGAAAAUUCUUCCACGCUCGCUACAUUCCAAAACUUUAUCUCCAAUAUGAAUUUCCAGAUGCCUCACAAGGUCUGAGCUCCAUCUGAAGGCUUUCCCAUGCUUGUCACAUUCAUAGGGCUUUUCUCCACUAUGAAUUCUAUGAUGUCGAAUAAAGUGUGAGCUCUGAUU